GAUUCAGCGGCGGACGGGUGAGUAAUGCCUAGGAAUCUGCCCGAUAGUGGGGGAUAACGUUCCGAAAGGAACGCUAAUACCGCAUACGUCCUACGGGAGAAAGCGGGGGAUCUUCGGACCUCGCGCUAUCGGAUGAGCCUAGGUCGGAUUAGCUAGUUGGUGAGGUAAAGGCUCACCAAGGCGACGAUCCGUAGCUGGUCUGAGAGGAUGAUCAGCCACACUGGAACUGAGACACGGUCCAGACUCCUACGGGAGGCAGCAGUGGGGAAUAUUGGACAAUGGGCGAAAGCCUGAUCCAGCCAUGCCGCGUGUGUGAAGAAGGUCUUCGGAUUGUAAAGCACUUUAAGUUGGGAGGAAGGGUUGUAACCUAAUACGUUGCAACUUUGACGUUACCGACAGAAUAAGCACCGGCUAACUUCGUGCCAGCAGCCGCGGUAAUACGAAGGGUGCAAGCGUUAAUCGGAAUUACUGGGCGUAAAGCGCGCGUAGGUGGUUUGAUAAGUUGGAUGUGAAAGCCCCGGGCUCAACCUGGGAAUUGCAUCCAAAACUGUCUGACUAGAGUACGGUAGAGGGUAGUGGAAUUUCCUGUGUAGCGGUGAAAUGCGUAGAUAUAGGAAGGAACACCAGUGGCGAAGGCGACUACCUGGACUG
rnacentral:rRNA from 1 species